GGCCGCGGGAAUUCGAUUCAGGCCUAACACAUGCAAGUCGAGCGGUAGAGAGAAGCUUGCUUCUCUUGAGAGCGGCGGACGGGUGAGUAAUGCCUAGGAAUCUGCCUGGUAGUGGGGGAUAACGUUCGGAAACGGACGGUAAUACCGCAUCCGUCCUACGGGAGAAAGCAGGGGACCUUCGGGCCUUGCGUUAUCAGAUGAGCAUAGGUCGGAUUAGCUAGUUGGUGAGGUAAUGGCUCACCAAGGCUCCGAUCCGUAACUGGUAUGAGAGGAUGAUCAGUCACACUGGAAUUGAGACACGGUCCAGACUCUUACGGGAGGCAGCAGUGGGGAAUAUUGGACAAUGGGCGAAAGCAUGAUCCAUCAAGGCCGUGUGUGUGAAGAAGGUCUUCGGAUUGACCUUUAGGAGAGUUGGGAGGAAGGGCAUUAACCUAAUACGUUA
rnacentral:rRNA from 1 species